rnacentral:rRNA from 1 species
UGUUAGCGGCGGACGGGUGAGUAACACGUGGGUAACCUGCCUGUAAGACUGGGAUAACUCCGGGAAACCGGAGCUAAUACCGGAUAGUUCCUUGAACCGCAUGGUUCAAGGAUGAAAGACGGUUUCGGCUGUCACUUACAGAUGGACCCGCGGCGCAUUAGCUAGUUGGUGGGGUAAUGGCUCACCAAGGCGACGAUGCGUAGCCGACCUGAGAGGGUGAUCGGCCACACUGGGACUGAGACACGGCCCAGACUCCUACGGGAGGCAGCAGUAGGGAAUCUUCCGCAAUGGACGAAAGUCUGACGGAGCAACGCCGCGUGAGUGAUGAAGGUUUUCGGAUCGUAAAGCUCUGUUGUUAGGGAAGAACAAGUGCGAGAGUAACUGCUCGCACCUUGACGGUACCUAACCAGAAAGCCACGGCUAACUACGUGCCAGCAGCCGCGGUAAUACGUAGGUGGCAAGCGUUGUCCGGAAUUAUUGGGCGUAAAGGGCUCGCAGGCGGUUUCUUAAGUCUGAUGUGAAAGCCCCCGGCUCAACCGGGGAGGGUCAUUGGAAACUGGGAAACUUGAGUGCAGAAGAGGAGAGUGGAAUUCCACGUGUAGCGGUGAAAUGCGU